rnacentral:tRNA from 1 species
GCCCGGAUGGCGGAAUUGGUAGACGCGCUGGUCUCAAACACCAGUGGAUUAACUCCGUGUCGGUUCGAUCCCGACUCCGGGUA